rnacentral:rRNA from 1 species
UAAUGCCGGAUGCUCCAGUUGAUCGCAUGGUCUUCUGGGAAAGCUUUCGCGGUAUGGGAUGGGGUCGCGUCCUAUCAGCUUGACGGCGGGGUAACGGCCCACCGUGGCUUCGACGGGUAGCCGGCCUGAGAGGGCGACCGGCCACAUUGGGACUGAGAUACGGCCCAGACUCCUACGGGAGGCAGCAGUGGGGAAUAUUGCACAAUGGGCGCAAGCCUGAUGCAGCGACGCCGCGUGAGGGAUGGAGGCCUUCGGGUUGUAAACCUCUUUUAUCGGGGAGCAAGCGAGAGUGAGUUUACCCGUUGAAUAAGCACCGGCUAACUACGUGCCAGCAGCCGCGGUAAUACGUAGGGUGCAAGCGUUAUCCGGAAUUAUUGGGCGUAAAGGGCUCGUAGGCGGUUCGUCGCGUCCGGUGUGAAAGUCCAUCGCUUAACGGUGGAUCCGCGCCGGGUACGGGCGGGCUUGAGUGCGGUAGGGGAGACUGGAAUUCCCGGUGUAACGGUGGAAUG